UCUUAUAAUAUUGAUUAAACCCAACUAAACUUCAUUCUUCUCUUCUGUGUUCAAUCGUCAUUCUUCGUCUUUAAUAUUCUAAUCUUCGCUUUGUUUUUUCGAUCGUCUUCAAUAUUCAAGAAUAUUUGGUGAUGGGUGUUGAUAUCGUCAUUUUGCCCUUUUUCUGGGUUUGGUUUAGUGGGUUCUGGUGCGGGGAGCUAAGAGAUAGACUUGUGGAACCCGAGUAUUUGGAGAUGGAGGAGAGAGUUCUAAGCCGUUGAAGGUUACGUUGAGUGGGCUCGCCAAGCAUUGGACGACCUAUGCGAUUCCGAUUGAUAAUGGAGGACUUGGAGCCAUGGUGUGGGGUGAUGUUGCUUCAGAGACUCUUCAACUUAAUGGUUGAAAUCGCUUUUCACUCUAUGUUGGUGACAGAAAGCCUGGGAAACUAUGGCAUUGGGAAGUAAUUUCAGCUUUCCCAUCUCUCUUGACAGAUAAUGAAAGAAGAAUUUGACUGAUGACCCUGGUGCCUAGGCUGUUGAUUAAACCUUUGUGUUAUAUAUCCAUAUAAGUCAUUGCAGAUGGUGGUUGUUAAACUUUCUCAGUUAGAUCCUGGCAUCUUGAGAUGAUCUGUUCUUGAUAGGAGUAACAGAGAUCUUUAAUUAAAAUCAGAUCACAGCUCUCACUACUUCAGCUAUUGUGCUGCAAUCGGAGGCUCUAGAUUACUUUUGGAGAUCCCAUUGCAACGUUGUUGAAAUCGUCAGUUCUUGUAAAUCUUGGGCACCUAUAAAUGCGAUAAAAAAGGAGAGUUUCUAAAGCAUCUUAGCCGCAAGUUUCACAUAAGUUUGAUGAACAAAUACUGGCUUUGUUACAUAUAGUUGUGGAUGAUUUCCAAACCAUUUUUAGACUUCUCAAACGCUGCAGCCACAACAAAAUACAGUCCAAUGGACGAAUGAAGCCAAAAUAAUACACAUAUGCUAGCAACAUGGUAUCCAAAUAAGUCAUGAGAUGUUUGGUGUUUCUUAUUUUGCCUCAUCUUGUCUACAGGCUGCUUGUUUAUAUUGUAUGCAUGCUAUUGAAGAUGGCCUUCCAGCAUUAUGAGCAGCAAAAUGACCAGAAUCAGGGGAAACGGCUGCAUGUUCUCAUACGAAAGAGAGUUUUGGUAGAGUUACGGAUGCCUUUUGUAUGGAAGUCGUUUUGAGCAAUGACAAGAAUCAGGAAAAAUGCGCUUUUUCUUACAUGAAGAGGAGUUUGGGCAGAAUCACUGAUGAUUUAUGUGGAGAAGUAGUGAGUUUCUCAGAUGAGUUUUGAUAUCUUUUGCUCCGGCAAUGCGUCAAAAUCAGAUCGCAGCUUUAGAUGAUUUGGCCAUUAUUUUGCACCCAACGGCUCCACAAUAAAUUCAGAUCAUAGUCCAAAGUUGUUGACAUCAUCAGUUCUGAUACUGCUUUUGCUGUGAUUUAACUGUUGUAUAUAACUGUAAAAUUGUUCUUCUAAGUUUCAUUAAUCUGAUAUUUCCUUUCAUUACUUUGAAGAAACUGCAGACUUCUUAAUUAUUGUGGAAUAGUUAAAAUCCAGUUUAUUAAAGGGAUGAUGCCAAAGCAGAACAGGGAGAAAAUGAUAUUCUUGUUUGCCUAAUUCAUCAUAAAUCAGUUGACUGAAUAAAUUUGCCUCUCAGAAAAUCAUGCUCGCCUUUUCGGUCGUUUAUGUGAAUCACAGUCAAAAUAGUUGGGAAUUUAAAUGCUUAGGACUAUGACAAGAAACGAGAAUGUAUGAAGGUGGGAGAAGUGAUGAAGCAAAAUACUUGCUCUUGAGCGAUGGACAGAUGCCUUGUUUAGAAAUCACAUGAACACGGAAUAGUUUGGCAGACAUUGGACUCGAGGAGCAAGGAUGAAAUAGGAGAACCAAAAAGUUAGGAGACGUGAUUAAAGGAAAAAGUUAGAUAUCAAAUUCUUUUUUGAAGAAAUGAUGUUCAUACAGACUAUGAAAUGAGGUAUCUUUUGAGUUCUGAAAGUGAUUCUUAGUGUCAGGCAUCAAGGUGUCACAACACUCCAAUAGGACCCAUAAUUUUCUGUGGUUUUCUUGAGCAGUAGUGAUGCAUGAUACAAGCUCAGUAGUCGAAAGAAUGUGUUCCUUCUUCCUGUUCUUUUUUGCACGAUGCGACAUUAAAGAAUGCUUAAUCACCAUACAAACUUGGAGGGGCAGCAGGCGGAAGUGAUUAUGAUCCUGAAGGAAAAAGUGAUUAUGAGAUCAUGCGCUUUUGCCAAAGUUUCAUAAAUGAGAUCUAUAUAUAUCUGGGUCCUGACAAGGAUCUUCCAUCAGAAGAGAUGUGUGUUUGCACCCGAGAGAUGGAGUAUCUCUUUGGGCAAUAUAGACGUCUUGCUGGUCAUUUUCAGGUUUGAAUAUGCCAUCUAUCCCUAUGGCGGUUAAUAUUCUGACAAAAGCUAAUGUUCUUAUUGCUCCUGCCAUGGCUGCUGAUGCUGGAAGGUGAUUUGUGACAUGAUAGGGUUCUUUUGGACAUGCUUAGUUGUCACCAAAUAGAGUCUCUACACCACAGUUUCAUUGAUUGUCAGGAUGCCAUGCUUAAGAACACAUUUUUGUUUUAGAAUGCGGCUAACUAUAGAUGUGAAUGAAAGUAGAUACAUUCCAAAACCAUUAAUUAGUAAGGCUAACUAUGGAUGAAUCUAUGCAGAAUUAUUACAAAUUAUUCGUAAAUGCUCUAAAUUAUUGUGUAUGCUACUAUGUAGCCAUAUAAGAAUAGGCCGCACAUCAACCCACUUACUUAUAUAACUUUAUCCAAGCGGGUUGAAUAUGUUCUUGAACUCUUUCCACAUAUUUUUGAGUUGAAGGUGGGGCAUAUUAGCCGUGGCUGCUUGACUGCCUUACAUUCGUCCAUUUCAAUUUUGGUUUUGUCAAAUUUUUUCAUUAACUUUGUCUGAUAUGUAUUUAUUUAUUAAGUUGUUGACCAACUUGG